GACGAACGCUGGCGGCGUGCUAACACAUGCAAGUCGAACGCUGAAGCCCUUUCGGGGGUGGAUGAGUGGCGAACGGUGAGUAACACGUGGGUAAUCUGCCCUGUACUUCGGGAUAAGCCUUGGAAACGGGGUCUAAUACCGGAUAGGACCUGUCCUCGCAUGGGGGUGGGUGGAAAGUUCCUGCGGUAUGGGAGGAGCCCGCGGCCUAUCAGCUUGUUGGUGGGGUAGUGGCCUACCAAGGCGACGACGGGUAGCCGGCCUGAGAGGGUGGCCGGUGACACGAGGACUGAGACACGGCCCAGACUCCUACGGGAGGCAGCAGUGGGGAAUCUUGCGCAAUGGGCGAAAGCCUGACGCAGCAACGCCGCGUGGGGGAUGACGGCCUUCGGGUUGUAAACCUCUUUCGACAUCGACGAAGGGGCCCUGUUGUGGGGUUUUGACGGUAGGUGUAGAAGAAGCACCGGCUAACUACGUGCCAGCCGCCGCGGUAA
rnacentral:rRNA from 1 species